CCCAUACUGCGUCUUUGCCCUCCCCUGGCUUGUGUUCAGGGCUGAGGGCCCUGAAGUUCUGUGGGAGUGUCUUCUAGCGUGUUUGUGUUAUGGUCUACAGGCAGCUCCCAGAGAUGGUCUGGAAAUACCCGUCAAGUGUGCAGAAUGACAACAGCAGAGCCACCACAGGCAGGAAGGUCACCAUGGCAGUCUCCUAUGGCCCCAAGUCUGGCUAAACUCAGUGAAGCUACUGGAAAGUCUCCACAGUGCCUACCCAGCCUAAGAAAAGCGGUGCUCCCUGCCCAGCCUGGGCACCUGUUCCACCUUAGAGCCUUGAUGAAGCAGCCACACUGGGCGAAGGCACUCCACUCUGUAAAUAAAAUACCUGUACUUUG